rnacentral:rRNA from 1 species
UGGGGAAUAUUGCACAAUGGGCGAAAGCCUGAUGCAGCGACGCCGCGUGAGGGAUGACGGCCUUCGGGUUGUAAACCUCUUUCAGCAGGGAAGAAGCGAAAGUGACGGUACCUGCAGAAGAAGCGCCGGCUAACUACGUGCCAGCAGCCGCGGUAAUACGUAGGGCGCAAGCGUUGUCCGGAAUUAUUGGGCGUAAAGAGCUCGUAGGCGGUUAGUCGCGUCUGCUGUGAAAACUCGAGGCUCAACCUCGGGCUUGCAGUGGGUACGGGCUGACUAGAGUGCGGUAGGGGUGACUGGAAUUCCUGGUGUAGCGGUGGAAUGCGCAGAUAUCAGGAGGAACACCGAUGGCGAAGGCAGGUCACUGGGCCGCAACUGACGCUGAGGAGCGAAAGCAUGGGGAGCGAACAGGAUUAGAUACCCUGGUAGUCCAUGCCGUAAACGUUGGGCACUAGGUGUGGGUCCAUUCCACGGAUUCCGUGCCGCAGCAAAGCGCAUUAAGUGCCCCGCCUGGGGAGUACGGCCGCAAGGCUAAACUCAAAGGAAUUGACGGGGUCAUAGCUGUUU